UGAGGAAUCUUGCGCAAUGGGGGAAACCCUGACGCAGCAACGCCGCGUGAGUGAGGAAGGUUUUCGAAUCGUAAAGCUCUGUCAGGUGGAAAGAAAUGUAUGGUUGUUAAUAGCCUCCAUACUUGACGGUACCACCAGAGGAAGCACCGGCUAACUCCGUGCCAGCAGCCGCGGUAAUACGGGGGGUGCAAGCGUUGUUCGGAAGCAUUGGGCGUAAAGAGCGUGUAGGCGGCUUGAUAAGUCAGAUGGGAAAGCCCUGGGCUUAACCCAGGAAGUGCAUUUGUUACUGUCUGGCUAGAGUAAGGUAGAGG
rnacentral:rRNA from 1 species